AGUAGGCUGGAAGAGCCGGAUGGAGGUCGAUGGCCGUACCUGCUCUUCGAGAACAAAACCACCGACUAAGCUUGUAGAUGUCAUUGGAUGGCACAUUAGGACGGGGGUUCGAAUCCCCCCACCUCCACAA
rnacentral:tmRNA from 1 species